CCGGGUGUGGCGCAGUUGGGCCGAGCGCGGUUGACUGGGGGUCAACAGGUCGUAGGUUCAAAUCCUACCACUCGGA
rnacentral:tRNA from 1 species